GAGGGAGACAGGAAUUGGAAAAGGGUAGGAAUGGGGGAGGAGAUGCCAGAUCAGCCCUGAGAACCUCUUUACCCAUCUCAAAGACUUGGGACACGAAUGGGAAAGGCUGGGCUAACUUCUGCUGCCCUUCCCCACUGUCUGUCCAGGAGCACCUGGGAAAGACAAAUAGAAGCUGAAUCCUUCACUGAAAGCCCCGUCAUCAUAUCUAUGGUUUGGGCAUUAGGAACGGCCUGGCCCCACAAAUCACACAACUGGGGUGUAGAACAAAAUGGUUCCAGAGAUGCCACCAGGCUGGUCCAGGGCCGAUGCAGGCCAGAACCCCGCUGGGAGGACUCCCCAGAACAGGCACUGAGCUGAGGAAAGGCAGGACACGUGGUCUGCUACCGACCCCACCAGAUCUUGCUGGGACUCUGGGCAGCUCCGGAGUAAGAGCAGCAUGGUGAGUGUUUAAGAGCGCAGAGGCUCACUGGGCAGCCCCGGGGACACUGCUAAGUCCCCAAACCGGGUCUACAGGCCUUCGACCACAUUCAUGCGGCCACGUGCCUCAGAGCCUUCGGGGGGUCUUAGGAGGCAGGCAGGAGGGUCUCCCUUCUAGGCCAUUCUAGGAGGGGACUGGAGAGCAGAGGUUAGACUGUAGGGUAGGGGUAACCUGAUCUUACAGUCCGGAAGCCAUGAGACUAGUCGCCUGGCCUUGCGCCCCGCCCCACUGCAGGGUGGAAAGCCUGUCCCCCUCCAGUCACCCAGCUCAAUAACGCCCUCCUCCGUGGGUCUUCUGGGCCCCAGAAAUCGUUCCCUCUUUCCCUCGCUUGGGUACUGCCAUGCGGUCUGGGGAACCCGUGGACUAUCGAUGGGUCUGGCCCAGGGUUUGCCCUGCCCGUUAGCCCAGGAGGAUAGACAGACACGGGGCACUGGUGUUCACUUGGUGAUUUCUCCUGCCCGUCCCGAAAGCAAGCAAUUCCACCGCUUCUCUUCAAAGCUCUGCAACGAAGAGCUAGGUCCAAGGACCGCAGGCGGAGGCGGGAAGUGUCAAGAUCCCAGGUUACGGAAUGGCACCAAGUCGGUAACCAAAGGAAGCAACAACCCGGGUGUUCAAGGUAGUCGUGCAAGGCGGCGUGGGGGCGAGGCCGAGGCCACUCCCUCCCACUUCCUUGACGCUAUUUCCUGGGAGGAGCCGGAGCUCGCGGCCCGGAGCCAAGAGAUUCCCAGCCCAGUGCUCCAAAAUACUCGGCCUGGGGGAGGCUGGUCCGUGAGCGCGCGCCAGGACCGUUCCGCCAUGCAUAGUGGACCCAGCACUAUAGCAAGCCUGGCACGACCUCUAAGGCGGUUCGCGGCAAUACCCGCACGUCGGCUCGUUGGUCUAGGGGUAUGAUUCUCGCUUCGGGUGCGAGAGGUCCCGGGUUCAAAUCCCGGACGAGCCCUCCUUUACCUUUUGCUGAGACAAGAGUGUCUUCAAGGAAUGUGUUACCUGACCAGCGCUGCAGGAGGCUUGACUGGAAGUCAUCAAUGUACAGUAAGCUCUUUUGUGGCACCGCGGUAGCAGAAAGCAUCUCAAUCCCCAGACCCGCCUGGCAUGUCAGGAAGAGACGAGGCACGCCCAGACUUGGGCAGGUCGCUCCCUUUCUGCUUCCUGACUUCCUUCCUGGUGUCUCAACUCGGCCACCACAGCCUGGUUUCGCUUUGAUUGACACGCGUCAAUCUAUAGUUGUGGAUGACAGUGUUCGGGAGAGCCCAGGAACUGUCAAAACUUGGUUCUCUGCAGCCCUGAAGGCACUCUGUCUCUUUCGGUCACUCCAUCUGACGAUUGGUGCCUGAAAUACACCUACGGUUUCUGGUCAGCGUUUAUCAGUGGUUGGAAGAACAGAACCCCUAGGAACCCUGCUGUCAGCACGCUGAGUGUAAAGUCUCAGAUCAAGGAUUCGGAGAAAGGUAUUCAUAGCUCCUCCUCGUUAGUAUAGUGGUUGGUUGGGAUGAGUCGGGUUGGACCCGUGCGGAUCCAGGAAAACAGCAUCAGCGAGAUCGAGGUAAAAGUAAUGGCUGCCGUCGUCUGCCCAGCGCGCAAUUGUGAGUGACCUUCACCGCUAGCGCGCGCCACCCACCCCACAUGAACUUGUAGGGUUAUGCCCAGUCUACAGACGAGGAAACCAAGAUCCAGGGAAGCUGAGUCACCGGCAGAGCUGGGAUUACGUCUAAGAUUUGUCCAGGGGGAGAGAACUGCAGCGACACCAUGAUGAUUUAUCAUCUCCAGAAAACAAAAAAAAGGCCUAGACACAUAAAAAUGGCUUCUCUGUAGUGAGCUCAACGAGCUCAAUGUGAUUCCAGUUAAGGAAUUGGGGCCUUAAGCCAAAUGCGCCUAAACACAACUUGCCUCUCUAUUAUUUAUCCAGAGGAUGAAUUUAAUUCCUACGUACAUGCGCCCACAUCUCGUCAGCUGGUGCCUCAGAGAAAUGCGCUGACAAAUCUUAAAGGUGGGGUUUCAUGACAAAAGUCCGCCCGUUAUUGCUGCUCAACAGACCCAUCAAGUCACACUAUUGGACAGGCCUCGUGGCGCAACGGUAGCGCGUCUGACUCCAGAUCAGAAGGUUGCGUGUUCAAAUCACGUCGGGGUCACACAAAACGUUGUUUUCCCUAAUCAAAUAGACCUACGGUGACAUUUUUCAGGAUAGGAAAAAAAAAAGCCUCCUCAGUAGAAGGAUAGGAGGGGAAUGAGACAAAUAUGAACGUUAUUCAGAAGUUGGGUGCAGACUUUCAACAUUAUGUGAUAUAUCCCUGUGGCAAACCUGCGCAUGUAUCCCUAAGGUCUAUAAAAGUAAAAAUAAAUUUAAAAAUAAAAAAUUCCCUGUUGUA